UCUUCCUCUCUUUUUUGGUUGGUUGUAAUCCCCAGGCUGCAGGAGGAUUCAUGCAGAUCAUCUUAGGCAUUUUCCAGGAAAGGAAUUUUGCCAGGCCAUGCAUUCGACUGAGGCCCUGGGUCACAGGCAGCGAGGCCACCGAAGGCUGCUUCCUCCUGAGGGGUUAGGAGCCCGUGGCUCUUGGGUGAAGCACCAAGGACGGCACUGUGCGUCUUUCCUGAUGCGGGUUUUACCAACGUUGUUCCUGUUUUCUCCACGUUGUUAGGAAAUGCUAAGAAUGCUUUGCAAGUAGAUGAGAACACUCACCUGCGAAGCUCUUUCGUAAGCAGGUGUGGCAGACGCUCUUCUGGCUCACUCCAGAUCCACUCCCCCACUUCCCUGCUGGCGGAGUCUGAUUUACUCUUCCAUCUGGCCGGGCUUCAGGAGGCUACGGAAGCCCAAGAUGACCUUGGAAGCUGCAGGCUGAAGAUGGCAGGGCCGGAGUCCCGGAGCUACUGUGUGGAGUAGAGUCUCCAUCUCCUGCUGACCAGGAAUAUAGGCGUUGGCUGUUAUGCUGUGCCUGCCUCCAGCGGAGCCCAUCUCAGACCUCACUCUCCGGAACUCUGGCUUCACUCAAAGAUUUGUCAAACCGACCUCCCUGUCAGUGCUCUGUGCCCUGCCUGAACUCUGCAGUUGUGCCUGGAUGUCUUGGAAGACUUUCGUCACUUGGCUUCAGCUCCGCAAUUUCUAUUUAAAAUCAAAAGAUGAGAAAACCAAGGCUCGGACUUGCUUAAGUGGCUUACCCGAGCACCUCAAAGCCAGGCUUCCUGAUGUUGAAAGCCACUGUUUCCUGCUGCUCCGGGUAAGCAUCCAUCUGUGCUGGAUGCCAGGGAGAAUGGAGAAGAUGGUGCAAAUUUCCACUGGAGGUGAGGAGGGAAAUUUCAUAGAAGAGUUGGUGUCUGAGUAUGAUUUUAACAGUGGGGGCCAGGCCAGAGGGGACCAGCAAGUUGGCAGGAGUGACAUGAGACCUUUUUGAUUAUUAUUUUUAAGGUUUUUUUUAGACUGAGUUUUGCUCUAUUGCCCAGGCUGGAGGGCAAUGGGCAAUGGCACGAUCUUGGCUCACUGCAACUUCCACUCCCCAGGUUCAAGCGAUUCUCCUGCCUCAGCCUCCUGAGUAGCUGAGAUUACAGGCUUGUGCCACCACGCCUGGCUAAUUUUUUGUAUUUUCAGUAGAGACUGGGUUUCUCCAUGUUGAUCAGACUGGUCUUGAACUCCCGACCUCAGGUGACCCGCCUCCCAAAGUGCUGGGAUUACAGGCAUGAGCCACUGUGCCUGGCCCAUAUUUUCAAGUUUUGAAUGAUUCCUUCAUUCAGCGAUAAACACCCAGUGAGCACCUAUCAUGUGCUGGUGCAUGGAGAGAAAUAAACAGACCAGGUAGUCACUUCCACAUCCUUGCAGAAUAGUUGCGAUCUGUUGAGCAAAACAGGAUAUGCUCAGAGCUGGGUGUUAGGAGACAAUGCCAAAGAAGGCUGUAGGCAUAAAGAUGGGUGAAUAGAUUUGAAAGCAGCUUAAGCUGAAAUUCCAGAAUUACUUUUGCUUCCUUUUUGGUCUAGAAUUAAGGUGCUGGAGCGACUUGAUUUUCCUCUAGAAUUGCCUAUGUGGAGCAACGCUUUAAUAUUUUGCCCUCAGCAAAGGUUCCACGGUGAUAAGAGCCACCCAAGAAACAUCACUGCAUUUUUUGUUUUUUUUUUUUUUGUAAAAUGACUAUUGGGGUUAUAAUUCAUUACACUGCUCAAUGCCACUUAUGCAAAUGUCUCUAUGACAAAUGCAUUCCAGGGCACUGGGCCAAGAAAAAUUGGUUCUCCUGCCACACGGGCUGGUCCUACCUCUAAGGCAGUAAGAACUCUGUGGCCAGGUGGCCUUUUCUCCGCACUCCAGCUAUUGGGAAGCUCAGAACAAGAUUUCAGGCUUAAUUUCUAUAGCAUUACCUAUAAUGUUACACCUCCCUGCUUCAUCUGCUGUUACUCUGUUUUUAUUGUAAGAUGUUCUUCUGGAAAGAGGGGUGAUGAGAAAGUGGAGUGAUGAAGUCAGUAUGGUUUGAAAUAGCUUCUGGCAAUAUUAAAUAGAGUUUGCAUGUAUCUCUCUCCCACACCAUUUCCGAAACUCCGUUCCAUGGCGCGCAGGUUCCGUGAGAUGUUCAUGAGUAUUCCAAAGGACAGGAGCUCUCACAGCUGGUGGCAUUGUUCAUCUUAAAUUCAUUUUAAAGUGUGCAUUAGGGGCCGGGUGUGGUGGCUCAUGCUUGUAAUCCCAGCACUUUGGGAGGCCAAAGCAGGCAGAUCAUGAGGUCAGAAGUGCAAGACCAACAUGUCCAAUAUGGUGAAAUCCUGUUUCCACUAAAAAAUACAAAAAGAAUUAGCCUGGGGUGGUGGCGCAUGCCUGUAGUCCUAGCUACUCAGGAGGCUGAGGUAGGAGAAUCGCUUGAACCCAGGCGGAGGAGGUUACAGUGAGUCGAAAUCAUGCCACAGCACUCCAGCCUGGGCAACAGUGAGACUUCAUCUCAAAAAAAUUAGAAAAAAAAGUGUACAUUAGAAAAAUGAAAAUAAUUUAUAGAGUGGUUCUAAUUAUUUUUUUAUUUAAUUUUUUUAUUUUUGCAUUUUAGGUUUUGGGGUACAUGUGAAGAACAUGCAAGAUUGUUGCAUAGGUACACACAUGGCAGUGUGAUUUGCUGCCUUCCUCCCCAUCACCUAUAUCUGGCAUUUCUCCCCAUGUUAUCUCUCCCCAACUUCCCAUCCCCUGCGUCCCUCCCCUAUUCCCGACAGACCCCAGUGUGUGAUACUCCCCUCCCUGUAUCCAUGUGUUCUCAUUGUUCAACACCUGCCUAUGAGUGAGAACAUGUGGUGUUUGAUUUUCUGUUCUUGGGUGAGUUUGCUGAGAAUGAUGGUUUCCAGUUUCAUCCAUGUCCCUGCAAAGGAUACGAACUCACUGUUUUUGAUGGCUGCAUAAUCAUGCUUAUAAUCCCAGAACUUUGGGAGGCCAAGGCGGGUGGAUCACGAGGUCAAGAAAUCAAGACCAUCCUGGUCAACAUGGUGAAACCCUGUCUCUACUAAAAAAAUACAAAAAUUAGCUGGACAGAGUGGUUCUAAUUAUUAAACAAAAGAGACUGUGUGACAUAACAGUUAGGAGCACCGGAUCUGGAACCAGAAUCCAUGGUUCAACCUGACCUGGAAAUUACUUGACCUCUUUGUGACUCAGUUUCUUCAUCCAUAAAAUGACCCUGACUGAGGUAUCAGCCUCGGAGAGUUAGAACAGUACCUGACAUGUCAUACGUCUUUGACUAGUGGUAGUUUUUAUUAGUUUUAUUUUAUUUUGUUAUUUUUUUUUUGAGACAGAGUUUUAUUCUGUUGCCCAGGUUGGAGUGUAGUAGUGUGAACGUGACUCACUGCAACCUCCACCUCCCAGGUUCAAGCGAUUCUCCUGUCUCAUCCUCCAGAGUACCUGGGAUCACAGGUGUGCACCACCAUGCUCAGUUAAUUUUUGUAUUUUUAGUAGAGAUGUGGUUUCACCUUGUUGGCCAGGCUGGUGGUAGUUUUGAUUUUCAAGUGCUGAUCUUCCUUUGGAAAAGGGUCUCCUGCACCUGAAAACAAGCGCAAGUCCCAUGACAAAUCGCCUCAGGCAGGAAGCGUGAGCUACGGCAGCCGGUUGUAUAUUUUGCUUCUCCGCUGCCAACCUGUGUGCAUUUCUAUUUGACAAUUGCCAGUCUUUGUUAUGCAUUUUACUCAUGAUUUUAACACUUAUUGCUGCAAUUAUUCAAUGUUUACCUUAUAUUAAGCAUAUGAAUCAAAUUUUGAACAUUUCUUACUGCAAUUAAUUCUACUCUGAGACUAUUAUUAUUAUUAUUUUGCUGUCUACUUUAAUUUAAACAGUAUCACAUGAGCCUCUGUUGGCACCCUGACAAAAGCAGAACAGUUUAAACAACGUGCCAUGGUCAGACAAGUUUGGGAAAUGCUGCCUGAGAUUAUAUUUUCAUUGCAUGUGACCCCUUUGAGCAAGUCCCCUUUGGACUCAGACACAGCACCAGCCAACGUGGCUUUCCAAAACACCACCGUCCGUUAUGAUGCAGAUUUGAUUUGUCUAACCUGUAGGUUUUCUUUUUUAUGCCAUGGGUAACAGGUCUGCCCACCUGUUCUCAGCUUUAAAGCAAUGCCUAUGUGUUUAUCAUUCAUUCAUUCAGGAAUUAUUUAUCAAGUGCCCCCUGUGUGCCAGGCCCCACGCUACAGACAGUGACAUGGAGUUCUGCCUUCUAUCAUUCAGAGCCGCCCUGUCCAGUACGGUAGCCGUAAGCCACAUGUGGCUGUUAAGUACUUGAGAUGUGGCAGGUCUGAAGGGAGGCGUGCUGUGCCUCUUAAAUACACGCUGGACUUCAAAGGCUGAGUAUGGAAAGGAAUGUAAAAUAGCUGUUAAAUAAUGUAUAUGUAUUAUAUACUAGAAACAUAUGAUAUAAUUUAAAUAAUUAAUGUUGGUUACAUGUCGAAAUAAUAUUUGGGGUAUAUUGGGCUAAAUUUACUGUAUUAUUAGAACUAAUUUCACUUUCUUUUUACUUAAAAAAAUACUACCAUUAUUUCUUAACUAAUUAUUUAUUUAUUUAUUUUUGAGAUAGGGUCUCGCUCUGUCACCCAGGCUGGAGUGCAGUGGCGUGAUCAUAGCUCACUGCAGCUUCCAGUUCCUGGGCUCAAGCGAUCUUCCCACCUCAGCCUCUUGAGUAGCUGGGACUACAGGUGUGCACCAUCAUGCCCAGCUAAUUUUCUAAUAUUUUGUAGAGACAGGAUCUCACUUUAUUGUCCAGACUGGUCUUGAACUCCUGGCUUCAAGUGAUUCCCCACCCUGCAACUACAUACUACAAAGUGCUGGACUACAGGUGUGAACCACUGCUCCUGGCUUCUUUUUAACUUUUUAAUGUGGCUGCUGAAAAAUUCUAGAUUAUAUACAUGGCUCACGUUCUGUUUCUGUUGGACAGUGCUGGCCUAGAAGGUUCACAGACAUAUAAUUAAUUUAACACAAUACAACAAGGGAAAUGCUAUAAUUUCCCAGAUCUCCUCCUCACCCCUCUGCCCCACUGCUGGAGCCUGACAUGAGGAGGCCUCCCGAAAGGCAGGAUGGAGAGGUCAGCCAAGGUACUAGCUGGGUGGGGAGGCAUGAGACCCUUACUGAAGUUGGAGUCAAGAGUCUGGAGCUGGAACCCUGGGAAUUGGGAGUGAACACAAAUACAGUGGGAUCAGAUGGUAGCGUGUGGUGGUAUAAGUCAGCUGUUGCUGGGUGACAAAUAAUCACAGAUCCUCAGGGACUUACCACAAUAUGCAUCUGUUUCUCUCGUAUGCCUCUGCAGGUUGGCAGUAGUUCCACUGAUGUAAGCAGGACUUGGUUGGGUUUGGUCUCUCUCUCAGGACUGGGCUCAGAUCUGCUCCAAGGAUGUUCAUUCCAAGGUCCAGGCAAAGGGGCAGCAAGUUAUUGUUUAAAAGUCAAGAGAGAGGAGAUGCUGGCAAAGUUGCAGAGAAAAGUAAUGCUUAUAUACUGCUGGUGGAAAAAAAUAGGAACAUAAUUCUUGUCCUGCCCAACUCAUUGUAAGGAUCAGGUUUGAAAACAGCAUAACAAGAAGACUGUGAAAGCUGUCACAGAAGCAGUGUCUACCUGGAAGGGGGAGACUGUUUGCACCAGUAGCCAUCUGGAGAUGGCUCAAAACUGAGCAGGACAAGGAUUUUGGUAGCAGAAGAAAUGUGGGCUUAUUGUGACAUAUGGGCUUAUUACCACGCCUUGCUCCAACUUUAUUAAAAAUUGAAAUUGACCUGAGAAUGGAAGUCCCUCUUUUGCUGAACAAAGAACUCCACAACGGCUGAAAAAGUUCCACAUUUUUAAAGGCGACGGCAGAGAUCCUGUAGAUAAGAACUUCAGUACAGACGGACAAAGCUCUCUUGAGUUGUAAAGGAAUGAAAACAAAGCCAAAAAAAAAAAGGCAAAUCGAUUGAACUAGAUCGAAAUUCUCAUUUGCAUGUUAAAAAUUCUAAGAAGACUAAAUGUCCAACAGUAGAAAACAGUCAACCGAUAAUAGGGCAGAGUUCGACACACUGCAGCCUGGCAUCUGGCAACCUGUUUUGUUCACAGGUUUUCUCUGGGACACGGUCACGCCCACUUCUUUGCGUACUGGCUGUGGCCCUCAAUACAACAGCGGAGUCCUGCGCUUACAGCAGAGAGUGUCCAACCCUCAUAGCGUAAAAUAGUUACCAUCUGACCCUUCACAGCACAAACUUAUGAAGAACUCUGCUACUAUUGAAGAAUAUGAUCUCAAGGAAUUUUGAACAAUGUGUGAGAACCACAAAUGCAGUUAGAAAAGUGAGUACAAACUGUACAUACAAUUUUCCUGAGUAAAAUGAGAUUGACAGUACUACUUGCCUCCUGGGCUUGCUAUGAUGAUUAAAUGAGUUCAUAUUUGUGGCGUGCAUAGAACAGCGUCUUUGCGUAGUUACUGACGUGCGUGCUUGCUCAUGUUACUAGCAGCAGUUGUAAUUACGAUCUUAAAUAUGUUGGAAAGACAUGCAUUACUAAUUAAUAAUGUGUAUUAAAGAUAAAAAUAGAAAAUAGUUGGAAGGCAAAACACCAGAUUGUUCACUUUGAUCCUCUCUGAAAGGAAUGAGUGAUUUUUUUUUUUUGACAGAGUUUUGCUCUGUUGCCCAGGCUUGAGUGCAGUGGCAUAAUCUCGGCUCACUGCAACCUCCAUCUCUCAGGUUCAAGAGAUGCUCUGACCUCAGUCUCCUGAGUGACCGGGAUUACAGGCACCUGCCACCACCAGCCCAGCUAAUUUUUGUAUUUUUAGCAGAGACUGGGUUUCCCCAUGUUGGCCAGGCUGUCUCAAACUCCUGACCUUAGGCUACCUGACUGCCUUGGCCUCUCAAAGUGCUGGGAUUACAGGCAUGAGUCACUGUGCCCAGCCUCCAAAUGAGUGAUUUAUAUUUUUACCUUUAUACAUUUUGAAUUUUUCAAAAUUCCUGUUUUAUGUAGAGAUAAUAUUACGUGUAUUAUUUUUAUUUUUAUGUUUUGUCAUUAGGUUGAUCCAUUUGAAAUGCUGGUAUUUGACCAGUUUUGAGUUAUGCAAAUAAGUUUCAUAUAGUUAAAGCUAAAAUUUUAUUUUCAGAAAGAGAAAGCUAAUGAAGGAUGUAAUUGAAAAAGAAAUCAGCCCUAAUAUGGUGGGGGAUUUGGGGCAAAAAUAGGACAAGAAGCGGCUUUUCUAUUUAGAUUGGAAAUUGAAGGGGACGUCAUGAAGGUCUCAAGUCAAUGAAAGAAGCUGAAACUAGGGAUUUGGUGGCAGAAGAAAUGUGCUUGUGGGCUUCUUGCCACACCUCGCUCCAACCUUAUGCAGUUUGUUAAAAGUUGAAAUUGCCCUGAGACUGGAAGUUCCUCUUUUGCUGAACAACAAAAGAAAUCCACAGCAGCUGAAAAAUAUCCACGUUUUUGUAAAGACAUCAACAGAGAUCCUAUAGAUGGAAAGCAAGGAGGUAAAGCAGUGAAUGGACCUAGGGGACCCACAUUCAUACAUGGUGUCAGAGAGGCACUCCUGGAGAGAUGCCACAGAGGGCACGACCAGGAGGGAACGCUACACUUGCAAGAACAAACGGGCAAACAGAGGAAGUGAGGUCAGCUGAAAGGAGAAGAGGGGAAGAGCCUGCACAGGUCUGCCUACGAGUGCAGAUCAGGUGCCCUUCUUCCUCUGCUCCCCUCUCUUUGUUCCUCCCUCCCUCCCUCCUUCUUUCCUUCCUUUCAGGUCUUGCUUCCCUCCCCUCCAUCCAUCCUUUCUUCCCUCCCUCCCUGCUUCCUUCCUUCUUUCCUUCCCUCCUUCUUUCCCUCCUUCCUUCCCUCCUCCCUCCCUUCCUCCUUCUAUCCCUCCUCCCCUCUUUCCCUCCUUCCCUUCCUUCCUUCUGUCUUUCCUCCCUCAUUUUCUUUUUCCUCCUUCCUUCUGUUCAUCCUUCCUCCCUCUCCCUCCUUCUUUCCUUCCUCCUUCCUUCCCUCCUUUCUCCCUCCCAUCCUUCCUUUUUCCCUUCCUUUCUUCCUUCCCUCCUUCCUUUCUUUCUUCCCUUUCUCCUUUCCUUCCUUCCUCCUUUCCUCCCUCCCUUUUUCCUUCCCUUCCUCCCUCCUUCCCUCCUUCCUCCUUCCUUCCUUUCUUCCCUCCUUUCUCCCUCCCGCCCUUUCUUCCUUUUUCCCUCCCUCCCUCCCUCCUUUCCUUCCUUCCCUCCCUCCCUCCCUCUCUCCUUCCUUCCUUCCUCUGUCCCUCCCUCCUUUUCUUCUUUCUUUUUCCCGAGUCAUAUUAUAUGAGGCACCAUACCACACCCCAGGUUGUGAUGAUAAUGGUCACAGCUGGUGAGGGAGGCCAUAGAAAGCACACUUCGGCACCUGCACUGAAUGGUACAGCAGCCCAGCCUAAAAGCAGGUCAGUCUUGUCUACCCGGGCCCAGAGAAGCAGCAGGGAAUGAAGUUUCUGGUUAGUUCAGUGAUCUGCCUUACCUGAUGUGUUCAUGUGCUAAGGCUGCUGUCACAAAGCACCCCAAACUGGGUGACUGAAACAGAAGUGCAAGAUGAAGGUGUGGGCAAGGCUGGGCUUUCUCUGAAGGCUCUUGGGAGGGAUCUGCUCCCGGCCUGUCUCUGAGCUCUGGUGACUCCUUGUUGUGGCAGCAGAACUCCCUUCAAAUCAGGUUCUCCCUGUGUGUCUGUGCCCACGUUUCCCCUCUUUAUAAGGACACCUGUCAUAUUGCAGCACGGCUUACCCUACUCCAGUCUGACCUCAUCUGAACCAUGACAUCUCCCAUGACCCCACUUCCAAGUCAGGUCAUAUUCUGAGGUGCUUGGAGUUAGGACUUCAAGACAGGAAUUUAGGGGGAUACCAUUCCUCCUUGAAUACUGGGUAAUGUGAAAACCAUUCUUAACGGUAGUUUCUAUUUCAGAAAAUCUCCUAAAACAAAUAGUUACAUCUCCCUCUACAGCAUAGCGAAAAGAGUCUUGGCACUCAAUGAGACAGGGACCUACUGUCUUGGGUUGGGGGGGUCCCUAACAUCCUGAGGUCCAGGGGCAGGACUGAAGCUGUUGUGUGAGGCAGAGCUGGAAUCCUAGAAGCUGGGGUUGUCCCUAAGAAGCCCCAUGAAGAGCUAAACCUCUGGAAUCUGGGGCAUUAACCAUCUCACCCGAAGGGGAUGUGUGACCUCAGCAUGUCGCUUGUUAAGCACCUACCCCUCUCCCAGUCCCAGCUUCUUACCUCCAAAAUACAGGGCCUCAGGAGGUUGUGUGGGGAACUGUGGUAGCCUGAAUAAUGCUCCCCAAAUAUAUCAGGACCCAAUCCCUGGAACCUGUAAACGUUACCUGAUUUGGAAAAGGGUCUUUGCAGAUGUGAUAGUUACUCUCUUAAAACAAGAUCAUCCUGGAUUAUCUGGCAGGCCCUAAAUAUUAUCACCUGUAUCCUCAAAAGAGCGAGGUGGGAGGAGACGUGGCACACACAAAGGAGAAGGCAAUGUGAUUAUGGAGGCAGAGGCUGGAGGGAUGUGGCCACAGGCCAAGGGAGGUGGGCAGCCACGUGGAGGAGCUGCCGGGAAACGCAGCAGAUUCUCCUCUAGAGCCUUGAUUUUGGCACAGUGAUGCUGACUUCAGAGGUCUGGCCACCAGAACUGUGAGAGGGUCCCCUUCAGUUGCUUCAAGCCACCCAGUGUCUUGUGAUUUGUUAUAGCAGUCACAGGAAUCAACACAGAAUUAAGCAAAGCAGCCUCUGUGGAGUGCUGAGGGCCUGCCCAUGAAUAGUUGCUGUGGAUUGCAGACAACCUCAGAGGGGGCGACUGUGCAUUCUUGUUUCAUGCGAUGAAUGCAUGACAGGGCAGUGCUGUCUGUUCUUCAGUCCGUAUUUUCCAAGUGCUGUUCACGAGUCAGCCCCUGUCUCCUGGUGCUUUCAGCUUCGUGUGGCAAGCACAGAGCAGGGGAUCGGAACAUUCUGGAUGCAGGGCACCAUAAAAGAGUAUGAAGCUGAGGAGUGAAAUCUCCAGGUGGAAAUGGGAAAGGCCACCCGGGCUGCAGCGCUCAGAGGCCAGGAGACCCCCAAGAGGCUGGUGGAGGCCAGGAGGCCCACACUCUGACUGUCACGAGUCUUAGACACUAUUGCCUUUGUAGGUGUCUUUCUCUAUGCAAAAAUAUUAAAAAUACCACCUCUCACCCAUUGGGACAGCCACUAUCAAAAACCAAAUCAAAUCAAAUCAAACCAAAACACAGAAAUUAACAGUCUUGAUGAGGGUGUGGAGAAAUGGGAACCUUUGUCUACUAUUGGUAGGAAUGUAAAAUGGUGCAACUGACAGGAAAAACAGUGUGGUGCUUCCUCAAAAAAUUAAAAAUGGAAAUCUCAUUUGAUCCCCAGCAAUUCUACUUCUGGGUAAAAGAAUUGCAAGUAGGGGCUCAACGGCAAUUUAUACACCCAUGUUCACAGCGGCAUUGUUGACAAUAAUCAAAAGGUGGGAGCAGCCCAAUGUCCACCUGUAGACGACUGGAAAGCAAAUGCGCUCCAUCCGUAUGGUGGGAUAUUAUCCAGCCUUAAAGAGGAAGAUGAUUCUGACACAUGCUGCGCCAUGCAUGGAUCUUGAGUUCAUUUUGCCAAGUGAAAUAAGCCAGACAGAAAAAGACAAACACUACUGUGGCCAGGAGUUCAAGACCAGCCUGAGCAACACAACGAGAUUCCUCUCUCUACAAAUAAUUUAAAAAUUAGCUGGGUGUAGGGGUGCAUGCCUAUGGCCUCAGCUUCUUGGGAGGCUAAGGCAGGAGGAUUGAUUUAAGCCAAAGAGUUCAAGGCUGCAGUGAGCUAUGAUUGUGCCACUGCACACCAGCCUGCAUGACAGAUUGAGACCCUGUCUCUUUAAAAAGAACAAACAGGCCGGGCGACGUGGCUCACGCCUAUAAUCCCAGCACUUUGGGAGGCUGAGGCGGGUGGAUCACGAGGUCAAGAGAUCGAGACCAUCCUGGUCAACAUGGUGAAACCCCGUCUCUACUCAAAAUACAAAACAUUAGCUGGGCAUGGUGGCGUGUGCCUGUAAUCCCAGCUACUCAGGAGGCUGAGGCAGGAGAAUUGCCUGAACCCAGGAGGCAGAGGUUGCGGUGAGCUGAGAUCGCACCAUUGCACUCCAGCCUGGGUAACAAGAGCAAAACUCUGUCUCAAAAAAAAAAAAAAAGAACAAACAAAAAAUGCAGUCUGAUUCCACCUAUGCAAAGUACCAAUAGUAGUAAAAUUCAUAGAGACAGAGAAGAGAAUGGUACUUGCCAGGGCCCCGGGGGAGAGGAGCGUAGAGAAUUGUUAUUUAAGGGUAUGGAGUUUCAGUUUGGCAAGUGAGGAGAGUUCCGCAGAUGGGUUGCACAUCACUGUAAAUGAGUUUAACACAGCUGAACUGUACACUAAGAAAUGGUUAAGAUGGUACAUUUUAUGUAUAUUUUAUCACAAUAAAAAUUUAAAUGUGUUAAAACUAUAUUUUAUGAAUGCAUGAGUGUAAAGACAAAUAUAUUAACAUUGCAUAUUAAAACAUUUUCUGUGCUCUAAAACUUCUUUUUUUUCCCCCCUCUAAUUUUGUAAGAAAGGCAGACGUGUUUGUAGGCCCUGGAAAGUAUCAGGGGCCUGGCUCUGGGCCUGUGCUGUCUGAUGGGGAAGUCAGCCCUGUGGGCAGGGCCAGUUGGCAGGUGCCAGGGCCUUUCUGUAAAGGGAGCACCCAGGGCGGGUGUGAUUGCUUCAGAGCCACACUGUAGACCCGCAGGACGCUGCCCCCAUCUCCAUGCCAGACCCCAGGGGUGUGUUUGUGAGAGGUUUCAUGCCCCUUCUGUUGGCCAAACAUGCCCAGUGUUUUGUCGGUCACAAGCAAACCUUCUAGAACAAAGGUUUGAGUGGGAACUUGCUCUCCUUAGGUCUGAGCUUCCUCCUCUUUCUCUCAGCUUCUGCACUUUGACUACGGAUAACGGGUCCUCCUGAAAGAACUGAACUCCGUAUGCAAAAAAAAAAGUCAUUCUUUGAACAAUGUGUCUAAGGGUUUGUCUGAGGUUUCUAAUCCUCACUGUUGGGAAUAAAGGCAAAGCCCUACCUUGAUGAAAAGACAAAAGGUGCGAAGAGUGGGAGGGGGCCAUGGCCAAACUACUGGGUACAUUGGACGUCUGAAUUUUACCGUUUCUCUCUGCACAUUUUACCUUUGCGAAUCAUACACGCGAAUCAACUGAUCUACAGCAAGGAACUAAUACGUAAAACGAGGUAAAUUAACAUAAAAGAGCAAUUGACAAUAGGCUUCUGUUUCACAAUAACAUGUAAGCACAAAGGCCCCAGGUUAUAGCAUUCAUUUUGAAUUUGUUACUCCAUAAGAAUAACAUACAUGAGGCUUGAAUAAUUGAAAAUUCCCAAUUACAGUUCCAACGAGCGGGGUUUUCCAGCCUCUUGUGAGUGACGUUCUAGACAGUCUGGCUAAACCCGUCGUAAAGGGAGAGGGAGAUGCUUUCCCUCCUGCCUUUCUUCCCCGAACAAAAGCUCUGAUGCCUUUGUCAGGCCCCACUUGGAAACACAAUAUCAAUCUUGCCUUAUCCAUAUUAUUGAUGGGUUGUGGGUAUUCUACUGUAAUUAUGUCAAAAAAGAAAUAUUUCAAAAUGUGAUUGGCAGGUUGAUUGCAAUAAUGCAUGUGAUUAAGCCCAGGGCUUGCUUAUGCAACCUAAGAGAGAAUGUCAGUGGCAAUUAACUGUAUUUUCUUUAAAGUUUGCCAAGCUUUCUCUUAUUUUUUCAUUGUGUUGUUGCAAAAUAACCCUCCGAGGCACCUGGUGGUCGGCAUAUUUAAGUAUUCUUCCUGGGAAGAACCAAUGGGGUUGGAGGCAGGGAUAAUAGGAAUCCUCAACUCCCAUCGCUGCUAGGUGAGCUUUGUCUGCCUCUGGAAGGGAGGAAGGCACUUGAACCAGGAAAAAGGCUGUGUGGGGUGUGUGUGUGUGUGUGUGUGUGUGUGUGUCUGUGUGUGUGUGUCACUUUGUCCCAGGCUCUCUUUGCGUCUGUCUCUCUUUCAGCAUCUUUUUCCCCCAUCCCUUCAAUUCAGAAUCCUCAGAGAAGGAGCCUAUAGGCUCAGCUUGGGUGGGACACCCAAUGUACUGCCAUCUUGCGUGGUGUAACUGCCUGCCUUGUGACCCAUUGAGUUGGUCACGGUUGGGCUGACUUGAUGAGUAGGUCCAUGCCCCAGUAUGAAGGAGCAGGUGUCCCGGUUGUCUGCAGAAGCUGUGCAAACACUUCAAGGCCACCGUAGUGACUGGCCCUGGGAAUGGACUGGGCUGGAGUCCAGCUCUUCUCUCACUUCCAUUCCAUGAACGAUUUCAGAGAACUACCAGGCACCGGCUCCAAUAUGGGCCCUGAUGGGGGUAAAGUCAGGGAAAUGAGAGCCCUCCCUGCCCAAUGGAGUUCCCGUGGAAUUGUAGAGUCAUAAGAUGCCUGGCUUACCCUCCCCAGCAGCCUGGCUGCUCCUGCUAACGAGACCCCCUCUGUGGAACAGAGGUUCUUGUCAGGGUCAGAUCGAGACAUUUUGGGUUUUGUCUUCAGGUAGGAGAGAGUAAGUCCAGUGCCAGAAUCCUCAAAGUGAAACAGAACAUGGGUGCUAAUGGAACGAAGAACUUGUCUCUCACAGUCCUGGGAGUUAUUCAAAUUUUAGAUGCCACUUAUUCUUAUAAGCCCUUCCAGAUCCUCUGGGCCAGAUUGGGAGCCUCUUCUCUGCGCUGUGUUCAUUGUGAACUUAGCAUGUCGCUUUGCACAUUGGUUGGUCAGAUUGCCAUAACAAAGUACCACAGAUUGGGGAUUACACAACAGAAAUUUAUGUUCUCACUGUCCUAGAGGCUGGAAGUCCAAAAUCAGGGUGUCAGCAGAACUGGUUUCUCCUGAGACCUCUCUCCUCAGCUUAUAGAUGGUUGACAUCGUGCUGUGUCUUCACAUUGCCUUCCUCCUGUGUGUGUCUGUGUCCUAAUCUCCCUUUCUUAUGAGGACACCGGUCCUAUUGGAUUGGGGUGCACUCCAGUAACCUCCUUUUAGCUGCAGGACUCCCUCCAAAUUGGCCGUCACCAUCUGAGUGGUAGGACUUCAACAUAUGAAUCUGUAGGGGGGACACGAUUUACUCAUAACACUUUGUGAUGAGUUUUUCUUUCAAGGGGACAUGAACACAAAGAGACAGAUGUCCUACUCAUCUCUGUCCAUGGACCCAGGACACGGGAGGAGUUCCGUGAAAGCAUGUUUGCGAAGCAGAUCAACCUUGUAUUAGUUUCCCAGGGAUUCCGUAACAAAGCAUCACUAACUGCUUGGCUUAGAACAACAAAAAUUUAUUGCCUCACAGCGCUGGAGGCUAGAAGCCCGAGAUCAAAGUGUGGGCAGGGCCGAGUUCCCUCUGAAGGUGCCAGGGGAGGCUCCACUCCCAGUCUCUUUUGGAGCUUCUGGUAGCUUCUUGGUUUGUGGCCGCAGUCUCUGAUGUUUACGCAGUGUGCUCCCUGGGCGUGUAUCUGCGUCCGGAUUUCCUCCUUGAUGAAGCCUAUCAGCUGUGCUGUAUUAGAGGCCCACCCCACUCUUCAUCUUAACAUGGCUUCAUCUUAACAAAUUAUAUCUACAAUGACCCUCAUUUCAGGUCAAGUCCAGUUUUAGGUACUGGGUGUUAGGACUUCAACACAGGAAUUUUUGGGAGACAAAACUCAGCCACAGCAGCCCUUUGGGCUGGUGGCAAGGCUCUUUCUCCUAGACCUGAUAGACAGUUUGCAAGUUUAAUACCUCACUGUGGCCCUGUAAUACCUGCCACAGAGACAGAGAA